rnacentral:lncRNA from 1 species
GACGAUAAAGAAUUUUGCUGUGAUCUAUCUCGUGGAUAUUACUGAGGUGCCUGACUUCAACACUAUGUAUGAACUGUACGAUCCUUCUACUGUUAUGUUCUUUUUCAGAAACAAACAUAUCAUGAUUGAUCUUGGCACUGGGAACAACAAUAAGAUUAAUUGGGCAAUGAAGGACAAGCAGGAGUUCAUUGACAUUAUCGAAACAGUGUAUCGUGGAGCAAGGAAGGG